ACUAGAGACACUUUAGUCCUGCCUUCCCAGUUCUGCGCCCUGCACAAGCAGUUUUGAAAAAUUAAGUGCAAAAAGCAUGACAAAGCAAUAUGAGGUUGCCGUGUUGCCUUUUAACUUGUCAAGGGCAGGCCAUGGAGAUGACUGGGCCCCCCAAUAUUGGAAUGGACUUGCACAUUCUCUGAUGAGGCAAGGGCAUCCAAGUUUUCUCAUUUGAAGGAUGGGAUGGAAGCAAAAGUACUCCCUUGAAAGGAAUUGUUCUCAUGUUUUGUUGAAGCCACUUCUAACUUUGAUUUAUAUGUGUGUAAAUAUAUAAUUGUAUGUGCUUACAUUUCUCUCAAGAUGUAUUCUGAAAUAAAGUUUUUUAAAGUUGUUAUAAAUGUCCUCUGAUGAGAAACACAUAUAGUAACUUUUUUAACUGAUUAUUUUGCAAUAAAGAUUAAGUAUUUUAUUAGACU